rnacentral:lncRNA from 1 species
CUCAAUCAUGUACAAUACAUAAUCGGUGACUGAAAUUCUCUCUUGCAUAUGGGCAUUGAACAUUGCGCAGGAGGUUUUGUAUCUCUCCACAUCCUCAGGGGUGCCGAAGGACUCAUUCAAUAUUUGAAUGAUCUCCUCUAGCUGCACAUCCUUGAACUUAUGACUAAAUUCAUCGUUCAUAGCUGCCCUCAUCAUGCAACACACAGUCAUGCGGUCAUUGAGCCAUUUCAUGUAAGUGUCUCUCGUGAC